UGAGUCUGAAAGGACGGGGCGGGGCGUGACUUCAGGAACCUGGAGUAGACGGCUGUGCAGAGGGGACUCCUGCCAGGGCUGUGACCUUUGAUAUCAAGACGUAGUGGAUGCUGCUUUCUGGCCAGGAAGGAGCUGGGGGAUAAAUAUCUCAACCUUACCCUCUUCUUGCUCUUUCAGCCACAGCCUGGUGCUUCUGAUCGACCAGAUCCUAGCUGAGAAGCCUGAGGUCCAGGGAGCCUGCUGAUCAAGUCCAUGAAGGAAAGACACUCAACGUCAGAAGUAGAUACCCCUGCUGGAACUCACGCAGAGCACACGAGAGCGCUCUGAUUAGGACCCGGGGCAGUCCUGACUCCCAAGUUCCCUCUCCUUCUGUGCUUCUGUGCACUGAGUAAAGAAAAGAAUUGCUGAUCCAGGGAGGGCAUAUUGGGAGGUGAGGUAAGAUACACAGAAGUGUCAGAGGGGACAUUAUUCAGUCUUUUGGUAGAAGGAGAAAAAGCGGUCUGUGGUCAAAAACAAAACAAACCCCAGUGAAAACAUACGGCUAAUCAAGAAGAGGAGGCGAAGAGGGUCUUACCAGUGAACAGAAAAUAUUCUGGGUGAAGAUAGAGCUCAGAGUGAGAGAAGCCCCAUGUUUGGCCACCUCUUCAAGGCCAGAUCUACAUGCAGACCAUGGGUGUCUCUGCUCUCGGGCAGGCGGACCCUCCUGACCCGCCCCUGAGACAUACACCAGGCAAAGUGACCCGAGAACAUCUGAGCCGCAGAGCAGAUCGGGAGGAGAACGGGUCUUGGAAAGUCCCCCAGCAGGAGGGGGAAGAAUCAAGGAGCAUUUUGCCGAGAAGGUGCCACAUGGUGCCACUGUUUUCUAUUUCUGAGUGGUUGGUGUCCAGCUGACAGAAAAGCCACAAGAGGGUUUGCUUCUAUUUCUGCUUCUGUUUUUACCAGUAGCCAAGAGACACCAUUGACAUGGGCCAUUCCGGCUUGCCUUAAGGUUUUAGGCUCAGCACUAGAGUACCAGACUUGGCUUCACCAACUGUGCUGGCCCAGAGCAUCCUGAUGGUCCCGAGAUCCUGCUUGGGGCAAGCUGCCCCACCCCCACCCAGCUGCUCCAGUCGGAGCUCCCCUCUAGUUCAGCCCUAGCCAGUCUUUUUGGGGAGGAAAUGACACAGAUUUGCCUUUCACUUGGAAGAUCAACCAUUCCUCAAAAAGCAAGUCCUGGAGAAAGCUUCGUGGUGAACACUGAGCGUGGAGGAAGGGUUUAGGGAUAGAGAGGAAGCUUCAAAGCUGUGAGAAGCUUUAUUUCUUAAGCUGAGUGGAGAAGCUAAAGAAGAGUUUGUGGCUGUUUUACUAAAAUCCCUCUGUGACGUUGGGAGGACACAAAGACACCAGCAGCAGUACUUUGCACAACUCCUACUAUAGACAGUGCCCUCAGCACAGGUGUCAGGGCCCUAAGGAACAGCCGGGCACAGCGGGCACAGCUGGAGACACACCCAGAGUGAGCUGGGUGGGAAGGAGGGAAAUGACAUAUGGUAGCCUUGUGGGUUUGUUCAUGGGAAGACUUUUGGGGAAUCUCAUCUGAAAUUGAGAGGAAUCUGGGGUGAAGCACUCACAGAUAUGGUGUGAAUAGUUCAGGGAAAUAUUGUAUAUGCUGAGUCUAUAAGCUACUGCAGCCCUGGGUUUAAGGAUCAUGCAAAUAUCACAUAAAUAAUAGCCCAGAUUCCCCUGUGGGUCUUGAGAGCAUCCUUAAAAUCGUUGCUUUCACAUAAUAGCAACACCAGUUGUAGUUGCUCUUGUAUUUCAAGUCUACGCACAUCUUUUUGGUUGCCCAGUAACAUACCACGGAGAAGCAAUUUACAAAUGUAGCCAUGGUGCUUAGAGACAUUAAUUCCACUCUUAUGCUGAACAGAUUUUUCUCAGGGUGUGUUUUUUCCACUGUAGGACCAGGACCAUUAAGAUAGCAGCAUAGUAAAGAUAUCUAACUCUUAUCUAUGGGUCAGGAUAUUAAAAAGCCAUAUAAUUGGACACCUGUCUAGAAAUAUUAUUAACUAUUACAUUGAAACUGACCUAGUAGUAAAUGAGAAAACAGCAAGCUAGGGAGGUUUGGAUAAUUUCACUCAAUUCUAUGUUCUGCCCAAUUUACCAGGUCAAAUAUAGAUAUACAUGUUUGAAAAUCAGUCAUGUAAUAUUUCUGGACAAUUUUCAUAAAAUGGAUUAUCUGUCAUAGUUCUCUAAAGCUUUGACCUCUUGAGACACAGUAACACUUUAGGAUGGUGCUCUGAGCCAGACUUACACAGCAUUCGCCAGCACGCAUAAUUUGAGGGGCCCCAAGGGCUGCACACCCAAAAAUAAUAACUCUAUGCACUGUCUCCUAUUGUCUCUGAAAGUUGGAUUCAUUGCCCACAUGUCUUCUGGAGUUGAAAGAUUGUUUGUCUUUGUUCUUUCCUUUUUAAUAAUCUGUUUGUUUGUUUUUACUAUCAAUGAGGAAUGUCCAAUUGAUAAAGAAGUGUUUUCUGGUUGUCUUUUAUUUGCUCUUGUUACCUGGCAAACAACCUAAUUCUUAAUGAUGCCGGUACAUAGGAGAGUAGCAAUCACAGUCAUGAUGGUUGUUAUUGUUGCUAGAAUUGAGAUACAACUUGCAUGAAUUGAACAGUGUUCAGUAUUGAGCUCAAUAAAUUUUUACAUGUGCGUAUACCCAAGUAACCACUCCCCAGAGGUUCCUUCCUGUCUCUUUCCAGUCAAUACCCAGCUCUGUCUCCCCUCCAACCCACACCAAAAGGUAAACAGUUCUGACUUCUAUCACCAUAGCUUGGUUGUGCCUAUUUUAGAAAUUUUAUAAAUAGAAUUAUUCACUAUGUGCUCCUUGGUGUCUGGCUUUUUCAACUUCACUUUAUGUGGGUGAGACUCAUUCAUGUUGUUGCAUUUA